rnacentral:rRNA from 1 species
GACGAACGCUGGCGGCGUGCUUAACACAUGCAAGUCGAACGGAAAGGCCCUGCUUUUGUGGGGUGCUCGAGUGGCGAACGGGUGAGUAACACGUGAGUAACCUGCCCUUGACUUUGGGAUAACUUCAGGAAACUGGGGCUAAUACCGGAUAGGAGCUCCUGCUGCAUGGUGGGGGUUGGAAAGUUUCGGCGGUUGGGGAUGGACUCGCGGCUUAUCAGCUUGUUGGUGGGGUAGUGGCUUACCAAGGCUUUGACGGGUAGCCGGCCUGAGAGGGUGACCGGCCACAUUGGGACUGAGAUACGGCGCAGACUCCUACGGGAGGCAGCAGUGGGGAAUAUUGCACAAUGGGCGGAAGCCUGAUGCAGCAACGCCGCGUGCGGGAUGACGGCCUUCGGGUUGUAAACCGCUUUCGCCUGUGACGAAGCGUGAGUGACGGUAAUGGGUAAAGAAGCACCGGCUAACUACGUG